rnacentral:rRNA from 1 species
CCUACGGGGUGCAGCAGUGAGGAAUAUUGGUCAAUGGGCUAACGCCUGAACCAGCCAAGUCGCGUGAGGGAAGACUGCCCUAUGGGUUGUAAACCUCUUUUGUCAGGGAGCAACGCCGGCUACGUGUAGCCGGACUGAGAGUACCUGAAGAAAAAGCAUCGGCUAACUCCGUGCCAGCAGCCGCGGUAAUACGGAGGAUGCGAGCGUUAUCCGGAUUUAUUGGGUUUAAAGGGAGCGUAGACGGCAAGGCAAGCCAGAAGUGAAAGGGCAGGGCUCAACCCUGUACAUGGUUUUGGAACUGGGGUGCUAGAGUGCAGGAGAGGUAAGUGGAAGUCCUAGUGUAGCGGUGAAAUGCGUAGAUAUUAGGAGGAACACCAGUGGCGAAGGCGGCUUACUGGACUGUAACUGACGUUGAGGCUCGAAAGCGUGGGGAGCAAACAGGAUUAGAUACCCGAGUAGUC